CGCAAGCUCUUGCUAUUAGAUGAGCCUAAAUCAGAUUAGCUAGUUGGUGGGGUAAAGGCCCACCAAGGCGACGAUCUGUAACUGGUCUGAGAGGAUGAUCAGUCACACCGGAACUGAGACACGGUCCGGACUCCUACGGGAGGCAGCAGUGGGGAAUAUUGGACAAUGGGGGCAACCCUGAUCCAGCCAUGCCGCGUGUGUGAAGAAGGCCUUUUGGUUGUAAAGCACUUUAAGCAGGGAGGAGAGGCUAAUGGUUAAUACCCAUUAGAUUAGACGUUACCUGCAGAAUAAGCACCGGCUAACUCUG
rnacentral:rRNA from 2 species